GUCCACGCUGUAAACGAUGAUAACUCGUUGUCGGCGAUACACAGUCGGUGACUGAGCGAAAGCGAUAAGUUAUCCACCUGGGGAGUACGAUCGCAAGGUUGAAACUCAAAGGAAUUGACGGGGGCCCGCACAAGCGGAGGAGCAUGUGGUUUAAUUCGAUGCAACGCGAAGAACCUUACCAAGGCUUGACAUACACCGGAAUCAUGCAGAGAUGUGUGCGUCUUCGGACUGGUGUACAGGUGGUGCAUGGUUGUCGU
rnacentral:rRNA from 1 species